GAUGAACGCUAGCGGCAGGCUUAAUACAUGCAAGUCGUGGGGCAGCAGGGGUAGCAAUACCCGCUGGCGACCGGCAAACGGGUGCGGAACACGUACGCAACCUUCCUUUAACUGGAGAAUAGCCCCUCGAAAGAGGGAUUAAUACUCCGUAACAUAUUGAUCAGGCAUCUUAUUAAUAUUAUAGCUCCGGCGGUUAAAGAUGGGCGUGCGACUGAUUAGAUAGUUGGCGGGGUAACGGCCCACCAAGUCUGCGAUCAGUAACUGGUGUGAGAGCACGACCAGUCACACGGGCACU
rnacentral:rRNA from 1 species